rnacentral:lncRNA from 1 species
AGGCUGCUGGGUGUAGUCAAGUACUUGACUUGUCGGUGCGUGUCUCAAGAUGGGAUUGACCACUCCAGUUUAGGAGCUGUGUACAGUCGUGUUUCAAUUUAGCAAAACCUUGACCAGGGUAGUCUUUGUGAGGAGUCACAGAACUGUUUGAGUUGAGCAUAAUUCGGAUGAUCUAAUCAGGGUUGACAGUUUAAUCCUGAGUCAUCCUAAACACAAAGGUCAAAAGGAUGAAUUAUACAGUAACCAUAUUCACGUAGGUUCUGAGUGUUGCG